CCUACGGGUGGCAGCAGUGAGGAAUAUUGGUCAAUGGGCGCGAGCCUGAACCAGCCAAGUCGCGUGAGGGAAGACGGUCCUAUGGAUUGUAAACUUCUUUUGUCGGGGAGUAAAAUACGCCACGCGUGGCGUUUUGAGAGUACUUGAAGAAAAAGCAUCGGCUAACUCCGUGCCAGCAGCCGCGGUAAUACGGAGGAUGCGAGCGUUAUCCGGAUUUAUUGGGUUUAAAGGGGGCGAAGGGGGAAGAUCAAGUCAGUGGUAAAAUUGGGGGGCUCAACCUUUACGGGCCGUUGAAACUGGUUGUCUUGAGUGCACGUGAGGUAUGCGGAAUGCGUGGUGUAGCGGUGAAAUGCAUAGAUAUCACGAAGAACUCCGAUUGCGAAGGCAGCAUACCGACGCGCAACUGACACUCAUGCACGAAAGUGUGGGUAUCGAACAGGAUUAGAUACCCUAGUAGUC
rnacentral:rRNA from 1 species